rnacentral:rRNA from 1 species
GGAGGAAAAGAAACUAACAAGGAUUCCCCUAGUAGCGGCGAGCGAAGCGGGAAGAGCUCAAAUUUAUAAUCUGGCACCUUCGGUGUCCGAGUUGUAAUCUCUAGAAAUGUUUUCCGCGUUGGACCGCACACAAGUCUGUUGGAAUACAGCGGCAUAGUGGUGAGACCCCCGUAUAUGGUGCGGACGCCCAGCGCUUUGUGAUACAUUUUCGAAGAGUCGAGUUGUUUGGGAAUGCAGCUCAAAUUGGGUGGUAAAUUCCAUCUAAAGCUAAAUAUUGGCGAGAGACCGAUAGCGAACAAGUACCGUGAGGGAAAGAUGAAAAGCACUUUGGAAAGAGAGUUAACAGUACGUGAAAUUGUUGGAAGGGAAACGCUUGAAGUCAGACUUGCUUGCCGAGCAAUCGGUUUGCAGGCCAGCAUCAGUUUUCCGGGAUGGAUAAUGGUAGAGAGAAGGUAGCAGUUUCGGCUGUGUUAUAGCUCUCUGCUGGAUACAUCUUGGGGGACUGAGGAACGCAGUGUGCCUUUGGCGGGGGUUUCGACCUCUUCACACU